CCCUCAUGAGUGAAGCACAGAUUUGGGAUGAGCUUGCCCUCCACGUCCGGAAUAACGAAACACAACUACAUUUAGGGAGACGAAUGCCAAAGGUAACAGGAACACCAGGAAAGGAGGAGACUGAAAUGGAUGAAGGAAGGGUCACCACCACCACCCCUUGGGCCAGGAAAGAAACCUGGCAGCUGUGAAGAAGGAAAAUGGUUUUCUACAACUACUUCUUGUGAGAGGCAGUCCCAUGGUAGCUCACUGCAUCUCAUCCUAUUGAGCAAGGGCUCUUAACAUCAUCCCUCUGGGUUCAUGUUUACCUGCCUCUGGACUGAAUAGUCAUCUAUUUCCAAACUUUUGUGAGUCUAGAUGUCAAGCUCAACUUAUCAGUGAAACACAUGAGGUCAUCCGAAAUGCUGACAAAAGACAGUUGGGGUACAAUGGAAAUCCAGACCUUGACUGUAUGCUAAGAAUGAGUAAGCACGACUGAACACAGCAUCCGCUUAGAGAUGUUCUCAAAGCCAAGCCAUCCCACUGAGCAUGUUAUUCUCACAGCACCUUUAAAAGAAGUUUGUUUUCCCAAAUUGAGAUAAAGGAGUGGGCGCAGCUUGUUGGAGUAAGACACCAACGGAAUCCUCUUGGGGGUUCCACCAUUUGGAACUGCAACAUCCAUUGCUGGCCCCAGCCUGAGAUGGCUGUUCCUCCUUUGAUGUUGAGAUGGUGCCUGACCCACGAGCUACAGCAAAUCAGCUGAGUCACUCAGGUACUAAAAUGAAGCCACUGUCGAAUGUCCGUGUCACUGAGGAUGUUUGAGACUACAAGCACAGGAGACAGAUGUGACCUAAUGUGGCUUCAAGCAUUAGAUCAAUGCUUAUCUCACGUUAACAAGGGAUCUAGAGACAGGUGGACCCAGGGCUGUGCAGCUCUCUGCAGUUGUCUCUGCCUUAGAAGGACAGCUAUGACAAAAUCAAGCAGAGCCUUGGCCACAUCUCCCUGAGUUUAAGUCCCAUUCUCCUGGGUUCUGAAGGCCCCACAAGGUAUCUACCAUCCCCAGCCUCAGCCCCUCCUCUGUCAAUUAGACAGAAUAACAAUACCUCCCUUGUGGCCUUGCCAUAGCAUUAAGUCAUCUAAGUGCUUGUCUAGAACCUGGCACAGAGUAAGUACCGCUCAAAUGUUAGUUCUCGCCAUCUUUACUUAUUUAUAACUUCAGCUCAGUAUUACAAGACAGUCCCAAGGCAGCAACCUUUCAUGCGGCCCAUGACAAUGGGUACACACAGAAACACAGGAAGGCAUAGAAUAGAGCUCGCAUGAAGUAAUGGUGGCCUGAGUUUUUAUCUUUCUGGGCAUUUCUCUCUUUCAACAGGGGAAUGCCCUCUCCCAGUUCUCCAUCCCUCACUGUUGGGUUGUCUAGACUAUAUAUAUUAAUUAACUAAUUAAUUAACUAACUAACUAAUUAAUGUAUAUGAGUACACCAUUGCUGUCUUCAGACACACCACAUCAGACCCCAUUGCAGAUGGUUUUGAGCCACCAUGUCAUUGCUGGGGAUUGAACUCAGGACCCCUGGAAGAGCAGUCAGUGCUCUUAACCACUGAGCCAUCUCUCCAGUCUCCAGCUAAACUGUUUCACAUGCUGACUUCCAAGCUGGUGCAACCAUCAUGGUUUAGACCAGUGGUUCUCCACCUUCCUAACACUGUGACCCUUUAAAACAAUUCCUCAUGUUGUGCUGACCCAACCAUAAAUUUACUUCCAUUCCUUCCUCAUAACUGUAUAUAACUGUAUAUAACUAUACACUAUAACCCAUAAUAUAAUUAUUUGUGUUUUCUGAUGGUCCUGGUCGCCCCCUGUGAAAGGGUUGUUCAACAACCCUCCAAAGGGGUCAUGACUCACAAGUUAAGAACCACUCGUUUAGACUCUGUGCUACCUAACAUAAUGGCCACCAGCCAUAUGAAGGAUUUUCUAUUUUACAAGAUUGUGUGUGUGCGCAUUUGCACACAAUGACAAUUUUUUUAAAUAAAGAUUUACUUUUAUUUC
rnacentral:lncRNA from 1 species